GGCGAACGCUGGCGGCGUGCUUAACACAUGCAAGUCGAACGGAAAGGCCCUGCUUUUGUGGGGUGCUCGAGUGGCGAACGGGUGAGUAACACGUGAGUAACCUGCCCUUGACUUUGGGAUAACUUCAGGAAAAUGGGGCUAAUACCGGGUAGGAGCUCCUGCUGCAUGGGGGGGGUUGGAAAGUUUCGGCGGUUGGGGAUGGACUCGCGGCUUAUCAGCUUGUUGGUGGGGUAGUGGCUUACCAAGGCUUUGAAGGGUAGCCGGCCUGAGAGGGUGACCGGCCACAUUGGGACUGCGAUACGGCCCAGACUCCUACGGGACGCAGCAGUGGGGAAUAUUGCACAAUGGGCGGAAGCCUGAUGCAGCAACGCCGCGUGCGUGAUGACGGCCUUCGGGUUGUAAACCGCUUUCGCCUGUGACGAAGCGUGAGUGACGGUAAUGGGUAAAGAAGCACCGGCUAACUACGUG
rnacentral:rRNA from 1 species